rnacentral:rRNA from 1 species
UACGGAGGGUGCAAGCGUUGUUCGGAAUUACUGGGCGUAAAGCGCGUGUCGGCGGCUGGGCAAGUCAGAUGUGAAAUCCCCGGGCUCAACCCCUGGAACUGCAUCUGAAACCACUCGCGAGAGUGUCGGAGAGGAAGGCAGAAUUCCCGGUGUAGGGGUGAAAUCCGUAGAUAUUCGGAAGAACACCAGUGGCGAAGGCGACAUACUGGCUCAUUACUGACGCUGAGGCUCGAAAGCUAGGGGAGCAAACGGG